rnacentral:rRNA from 1 species
UACGUAGGUGGCAAGCGUUGUCCGGAUUUACUGGGCGUAAAGAGCGCGCAGGCGGCUGACCAAGUCCGAUGUGAAAGCUCCCGGCUCAACUGGGAAACGGCAUCGGAAACUGAUCGGCUUGAAGGUGGGAGAGGGUAGUGGAAUUCCCGGUGUAGUGGUGAAAUGCGUAGAUAUCGGGAGGAACACCGGUGGCGAAGGCGGGUCUCUGGGCAUUUCCUGACGCUGAGGCGCGAAAGCGUGGGGAGCAAACGGG